rnacentral:rRNA from 1 species
AGAGUUUGAUCAUGGCUCAGGAUGAACGCUGGCGGCGUGCUUAACACAUGCAAGUCGAACGAAGCGAUUUGAAUGAAGCUUUCGGAUGGAUUUCAGAUUGACUGAGUGGCGGACGGGUGAGUAACGCGUGGGUAACCUGCCCCAUACAGGGGGAUAACAGUUAGAAAUGACUGCUAAUACCGCAUAAGACCACAGCACCGCAUGGUGCAGGGGUAAAAACUCCGG